GACGAACCGUCCAAACGUUAUUCGGAAUUACUGGGCUUAAAGGGUGCGUAGGCGGCGCGGAAAGUUGGGUGUGAAAUCCCUCGGCUCAACCGAGGAAUUGCGCCCAAAACUACCGUGCUCGAGGGAGACAGAGGUGAGCGGAACUGAUGGUGGAGCGGUGAAAUGCGUUGAUAUCAUCAGGAACACCGGUGGCGAAAGCGGCUCACUGGGUCUUUUCUGACGCUGAGGCACGAAAGCUAGGGGAGCGAACGGG
rnacentral:rRNA from 1 species